AUGUCUUACCAUGCCAUAUUCAUGAAAAAACUAGUGAUGAUGUGUAACGCCCCGAGACCGACGCUCCAGAAGCCUUCCAUGUUUUUCGUUGUUAUCGUGUGUUUUAUUUGUGUGUUGCAUUCAUCAUCGCAUCAUUUGCAUUCCAUCGGCACUUCGUUGCCAUCAUGUUUUAAAACUUGCAUUCACUCGUCGUUGACGUUUCUCCCUUUUGCCUUCAUCACCUUCCCUCGGAUCGCCUUGCCUGUGUUGACCGUUCCAGACCAAUCGGGUUUUCACUUCCCUCUUGACCAUGACCGCCUAACCCCUCUUUGCGCAGAGCAUCGACCCCUUGCCCGUGUCCGAAACUUCCCCGAACCCGAACCGGACUAUCGUUAUCAUUGGGUCCGAAUUAUCCCCCAACAUCCCUAA
rnacentral:rRNA from 1 species